UAACACAAAAAGUAUGUGAAAGUUUGUCCAAUUUUGUAAUUACUAACUGUUAUCUAUUCAUUUUCACAAGGGAGACACAAGGGAUGUCUUCAUGUGCUCAACUCUUCACACAGCACAUGCAGGUGACAGUCCAGAGGAGAGUCAAAGGUGCGGAUGGGCGCUGGGAAUUGAAAGAUGUUCCUGUUCCCCGAGCUGUCAAAGACUACAACCGGUGCAAACGUGGGGUCUAGCUCCACAGCCAGAACCAUACAAACUCCUCCUCCAAGUGGAACACACCAUAGGCCAGUGCACAUCAGCGGGGACUGCACCAUUGGUUGGCGAAAGUGCAAGUAUUGUCAUAAAAAGACCCCAUUGAAAUGUGCCUCAUAUGAUGUGCCCUUGUGCUUUAUUCCCAAGAGAGACUGUUAUAAUGACUGGCAUGUUGGAAAUAACUUGUAGGAUGUCAGUCAUAAAGAUAGUGUGUAAAUAAUGUAAAUAUGUGUGUUUUCUAAAGUUUGCUGUGUUGCACUUUUUCUAUAAAUAGUUUUCCACCAUAA